rnacentral:rRNA from 1 species
GUGAGGAAUAUUGGUCAAUGGACGAGAGUCUGAACCAGCCAAGUCGCGUGAAGGAAGACGGUUCUAUGAAUUGUAAACUUCUUUUGUGCAGGAAUAAAGUGGGUUACGUGUAACCUUUUGUAUGUACUGUACGAAUAAGGAUCGGCUAACUCCGUGCCAGCAGCCGCGGUAAUACGGAGGAUCCGAGCGUUAUCCGGAUUUAUUGGGUUUAAAGGGUGCGUAGGUGGAUUGAUAAGUCAGCGGUGAAAGUUUGCAGCUUAACUGUAAAAUUGCCGUUGAAACUGUCGGUCUUGAGUGCAAAUGAGGUAGGCGGAAUGUGUUGUGUAGCGGUGAAAUGCUUAGAUAUAACACAGAACUCCGAUUGCGAAGGCAGCUUACUGGGAUGCAGCUGACACUGAUGCACGAAAGCGUGGGUAUCAAACAGGAUUAGAUACCCGUGUAGUCC